rnacentral:rRNA from 1 species
UUACGGGAGGCAGCAGUGAGGAAUUUUGCGCAAUGGGGGAAACCCUGACGCAGCAACGCCGCGUGAGUGAUGAAGGCCCUUGGGUCGUAAAGCUCUGACAGAGGGAAAGAAAUGUGGGUGGCUAAUAUCCAUUCCACUUGACGGUACCCUCAAAGGAAGCACCGGCUAACUCCGUGCCAGCAGCCGCGGUAAUACGGGGGGUGCAAGCGUUGUUCGGAUUUAUUGGGCGUAAAGCGCGUGUAGGCGGUUUUUUAAGUCUGAUGUGAAAGCCCCGGGCUCAACCUGGGAAGUGCAUUGGAUACUGGAAGACUUGAAUACGGGAGAGGGAAGUGGAAUUCCUGGUGUAGGAGUGAAAUCCGUAGAUAUCAGGAGGAACACCGGUGGCGAAGGCGGCUUCCUGGACCGAUAUUGACGCUGAGACGCGAAAGCGUGGGUAGCAAACAGGAUUAGAUACCCCGGUAGG